GUGGGAGGGGGCUUGCCCCCGAUGACAGUGUGUCAGUCAACUGAUCCCUGUCUGACGCACCGCAAUCGGGGGCAAGCCCCCUCCCAC
rnacentral:misc_RNA from 1 species